AGCUCAGCGGUUGAACACUCGCUUCACAAGCGAUAGGACGGUGGUUCGAACCCACC
rnacentral:tRNA from 1 species